GACAGAGGGGGCAAGCGUUGCUCGGAAUUACUGGGCGUAAAGGGCGCGUAGGCGGGAUGGCAAAUCGGUCGUGAAAUCCCUCGGCUCAACCGAGGAACGUCGAUCGAUACUGCUGUUCUUGAGGAUUGCAGAGGAGACUGGAAUUCCCGGUGUAGCGGUGAAAUGUGUAGAGAUCGGGAGGAACACCGGUGGCGAAGGCGGGUCUCUGGGCAAUUCCUGACGCGAGGCGCGAAGCGUGGGACGCAAACGGG
rnacentral:rRNA from 1 species